AGAGGAUGAUCAGCCACAUUGGGACUGAGACACGGCCCAAACUCCUACGGGAGGCAGCAGUGGGGAAUCUUGCACAAUGGGGGAAACCCUGAUGCAGCGAUGCCGCGUGAGUGAAGAAGGCCUUUGGGUUGUAAAGCUCUUUCGUCGGGGAAGAAAAUGACUGUACCCGAAUAAGAAGGUCCGGCUAACUUCGUGCCAGCAGCCGCGGUAAUACGAAGGGACCUAGCGUAGUUCGGAAUUACUGGGCUUAAAGAGUUCGUAGGUGGUUAAAAAAGUUGGUGGUGAAAUCCCAGAGCUUAACUCUGGAACUGCCAUCAAAACUUUUUAGCUAGAGUAUGAUAGAGGAAAGCAGAAUUUCUAGUGUAGAGGUGAAAUUCGUAGAUAUUAGAAAGAACACCAAUUGCGAAGGCAGCUUUCUGGAUCAUUACUGACACUGAGGAGCGAAAGCAUGGGUAGCGAAGAGGAUUAGAUACCCUCGUAGUCCAUGCCGUAAACGAUGUGUGUUAGACGUUGGAAAUUUAUUUUCAGUGUCGCAGCGAAAGCAAUAAACACACCGCCUGGGGAGUACGACCGCAAGGUUAAAACUCAAAUGAAUUGACGGGGACCCGCACAAGUAGUGGAGCAUGUGGUUUAAUUCGAAGAUACGCGCAGAACCUUACCAACACUUGACAUGUUCGUCGCGACUCUAAGAGAUUAGAGUUUUCGGUUCGGCCGGACGAAACACAGGUGCUGCAUGGCUGUCGUCAGCUCGUGUCGUGAGAUGUUGGGUUAAGUCCCGCAACGAGCGCAACCCUUACUUUUAGUUGCCACCAUUUAGUUGGGCACUCUGAAAGAACUGCCAGUGAUAAGCUGGAGGAAGGUGGGGAUGACGUCAAGUCCUCAUGGCCCUUACGUGUUGGGCUACACACGUGCUACAAUGGUAUCUACAACAGGAAGCAAAACAGCGAUGUUAAGCAAAUCCCAAAAAGAUACCUCAGUUCGGAUUGCACUCUGCAACUCGAGUGCAUGAAGCUGGAAUUACUAGUAAUCGCGGAUCAGCGCGCCGCGGUGAAUACGUUCCCGGGUCUUGUACACACCGCCCGUCACACCAUGGAAGUUGGUUACACCUUAAGGCAAAGCAUAAAACCUUUGACUACGGUACGAUCAGCGACUGGGGUGAAGUCGUAACAAGGUAGCCGUAGGGGAACCUGCGGCUG
rnacentral:rRNA from 1 species